CAUCAACACCGCUUUCACUGCAAUCAGCAUUCCGUCACUGGAUAACACUUCCCAACGUACUCUGAAACAGCUCCGCACGUUUAGGUACAAGAGAAUGGGGUUGCCAAACCUCUAGAAUUGGCCUGAAGUCUUCAAAAAUUGGAAACCAAUCUCCAGGACACUACUGCGUGCAAGCUUAGAGAAAGAUCAUGAAGGUGUAGGAGUGCAGUGAGUCCCAAGAGUGUUGAUCUGGAGCAUGGACUAAGUCAUGUGAUGAAACCUCGAGGAAUCCAUUUAACCAUAGUUCAUAGCUGCCAACAAAAGUCACCAGAAGUUCCAAGCUGAACUCAAUCUAAGCAGU